CCUACGGGUGGCAGCAGUGGGGAAUAUUGCGCAAUGGGCGAAAGCCUGACGCAGCGACGCCGCGUGAGGGAUGAAGGUCUUCGGACCGUAAACCUCUGUCAGCAGGGAAGAACGGUCACUGUGCUAAUCAGCAGUGAAUUGACGGUACCUGCAAAGGCAGCACCGUCUAACUCCGUGCCAGCAGCCGCGGUAAUACGGAGGGUGCGAGCGUGACUCGGAAUUACUGGGCGUAAAGGGCUCGUAGGCGGAAUGUCAAGUCAAGGGUGAAAUCCCCGGGCUCAACGUGGGAACUGCCGUUGAAACUGGCAAACUAGAGUGUGUAAGAGGAUAGUGGAAUGCCAGGUGUAGGAGUGAAAUCCGUAGAUAUC
rnacentral:rRNA from 1 species